UCAUGAUUGAGAGCUGCCCUUCAUGGCAACAGAAUCCACAACAACAAUGACUUUUAUCAGCAUCUUCAUCUGGGCACUUGUCAUCUGCACUCAGGAAUCCAGUGGACAGUAUACUGUGACUCAGACUCCAGCAGUGAAAUCUGUUCUCCCAGGAGACACAGUCGUUCUGAGCUGUAAAGUCAGCAGCGCUGUGUACAAUAACAACGAACUAGCCUGGUACCAACAGAAACCUGGAGAAGCUCCCAAACUCCUGAUCUAUGCUGCCAGUACCCUUCAGUCUGGGAUCCCAACUCGUUUCAGUGGCAGUGGAUCUGGGACUGACUUCACUCUGACCAUCAGUGGAGUCCAGGCUGAAGAUGCAGGAGAUUACUACUGUCAGAGUUACCAUUACCUCAACAGUAAAGAUGUGUUCACACAAUCGUUGAUGGUUAGAUAA